AUUACCCAGAGAGCUUGUUAAAAUGCAGAUUCUAAUCCAGUAGCUCUGGGGUGAGGUCUGGGAUUCUUCAUUUCUAACAAGUUCCCAAGUGAUGUCUG
rnacentral:pre_miRNA from 1 species